UACGGGGGGGGCAAGCGUUGUUCGGAAUUACUGGGCGUAAAGGGCUCGUAGGCGGCCAACUAAGUCGGACGUGAAAUCCCUCGGCUUAACCGGGGAACUGCGUCCGAUACUGGAUGGCUUGAGUUUGGGAGAGGGAUGCGGAAUUCACGGUGUAGCAGUGAAAUGCGUAGAUAUCGUGAGGAACACCAGAGGCGAAGGCGGCUACCUGGACAAUUGCUGACGCUCAGGCACGAAAGCGUGGGGAGCGAAAGGG
rnacentral:rRNA from 1 species